GCUGGUGCGCGGAAGCGCACAUGUGUCACGGCUUUCGUGCUCAAUCCACUCAACCCCUGUGCACCUUUGCGAAGUUAGUAGCUUUUUUCCGUUUUAUCUGGUUGUAUGGGGGGGCUUGCGUUAGCGCGAGCUCACUUGACCGGGGAGGGAAGAGGCGAACACUUUGACUUUUAUUACAAACCCAUUGUAAUGUCUUGUGGAAUGUAAUGCUCCUUGUGGGCGAAAUGAAAUACAACUUUCAACAACGGAUCUCUUGGCUCUCGCAUCGAUGAAGAACGCAGCGAAAUGCGAUAAGUAAUGUGAAUUGCAGAAUUCAGUGAAUCAUCGAAUCUUUGAACGCACCUUGCGCCCCUUGGUAUUCCGAGGGGCAUGCCUGUUUGAGUGUCAUGUUAAUCUCAAGCCCCAAGUCUUUCUUAAUUGAAGGGCCUGGUCGGUUUGGACUUGGAGGGUACUGCUGGCUCCCCUUUUGUAGUCGACUCCUCUGAAAUGCAUUAGCUGGACUUUUGGUUCGCAUUUACGGUGUAAUAGUAAAUACUUGUUCACCGGGUGCUUGCCUAGGGAGUCUGCUUCUAAUUGCCCUUUACUUUGGGGCAAGGUCCCUUUGACCUUCAUGUGAACACUUUGACCUCAAAUCAGGCAGGAUUACCCGCUGAACUUAA
rnacentral:rRNA from 1 species